rnacentral:snRNA from 1 species
UCAGCUCUCUUUGCCUCAUGGCUUAGAUCAAACGUAGUACCUGUUCUCAUCGGUUUAAUCGCUGAUGGUCCUGCACCGCAGGCUUCCUUGAUUACCCUAAUAUUUGGACCUCGUGAUGGGCCUCUGUGCUUGCACACGCCUGUCGCACAGUGCCACUGGGCUCACACUACCCCCGGUCGAUGCGAACACUC